GUGUAAAUACAUUGGAGACUGCAUUGUAUCACAUUCAUACUUUUGGAAAUCAAUUGAAUUGGAGUUUGGUUCCCGCGUGGAAUUCCCUGGCCAGUGCAAGCUGGAGAACCCGAGCUCUCUACCAGAGAACUUUUGCCAAGGAACGAUUGGAGAUUUCAAAGGUGCAGACGUCGGAUUAUGCAACUGAGAUCUUCAACCGAUGAACUUGUAUCGCAAGCGCUUGUCUCAGUCGUGUGUGCAUUUCUCCCCAUCCCUGGAGAUUCAAAGACGCUCGACUGCACUGGAGGACGAGCAAGACAGCUUCAGAUCUGAUCUGGAGCAAAUCAACACUGCUGCGACGAUAAUUUCCAGCAGAUCCUUAUCAGAGGAUGAAAGGAGAAGACAUCGAGCAAAUGAGGUGCAAGAACAAGCUGUUUCCACACUCCUUACCUCUCUGCCAGCCUUGAACAGAACUUCCUGAUUAGAGACAAUUUUUUGGCAAUCGGAAUCCGAUCGGAGGGCAGCAACGAUCAUGUUAGCUCCGUAAUUGUUAGAGGAACGUUCUUGUGAAAUUUGAGCAAGAAUAGAGUUGAUUUGGCCAGUCCACCAGAGCAUAUCGGAAUUGCAGCGGCGAUUGGCGAAAAUCGGCGGCGCUGCUUGGAGCGAAACAGGGAGUUAGGCGGAACUUCCUCCUGCACGUGAUUUCUCCUGGGAGUUGAUCUGAAGCUGAAAUUUGGGGUGCCCAAUCUUCAACCUAAUGAGACAAUGUUGAUGUUGGAGAUCGCAAUUGCUGUAGCAGGAGAACGAUAGGAGAUAAGGUGUAACAACCACUGUUUGGAGGAGAAGGGCGACCGUCGGCGCCAUUCCGGCGAUAGCUUCCCCAAUUCAUCAAAUACUUGGGGCAAUUCUGUAAUCUGGUGAUGAACCUCCUCCAUAAUCACUCUACUCUUAUUGUUUUUCUAGAGCAGUAACUCUUUGUGCGCUGCCUAGGACACAAGGUGUACAGACGAGCUGGACUUAGCUGAUGAGAGCAGCCGUUACCUCCCUAUUGUUGAAUAGUUGAGAAGGAUUAUAUCCCUGGCUUUCAUCCUCAGUUGAUCUCUGAGCUUUGUGGAGAUGCUGGACAUAUCUCCGGUAGGUGAGAUCUUUGUCAUCCUAUAGAUCACGGGUGGGCGUGCGAUUGCAGCCGGCCAUUGGCCCUUCCAGUUGACUGCAGACUCCUCUGAAGCACAUUGCUUAGGACACAGUCCCGGCUGGACAGACCACCUAAGGGGUUUGAGGCAAUGGUUUGCAUACGCCUAGGCAUGGAUGACAGGGUAGUAUGUUGUGGAUGAAUGUUGGUUUGAGUGAGGAGUGUUAUUUUUGCAUCGCAUAUGAUUGUACAUGCCUCACAUCUUCAUAGCGGCUGUAGUAGGAUGAAAUCAGGCUGUGUGAACUGCUCUUGUAACCAGUCCUAGGGGAUUUAUUUGAGCUGGGGUUGCUGUCCAGUCGGGUUGAAAUUUGUAAAUCCAUAUUAUUUGAUCAGCUGCAUUAGCCUCCUCCAAUUGAUUCUUGGGCAAGAGUUGGUCUUCGGCAGCAAAUUUGGGUGCAGCUGUACAUGCUCUAUCAGUAGCUUAGAAGGAGAGGCUGCCCAGUGGUACUUGGUGACCAUUAACCCUGCACAA